AUACGGAGGGUGCGAGCGUUAAUCGGAAUUACUGGGCGUAAAGCGCGCGUAGGCGGCUAAGUAAGUCGGAUGUGAAAGCCCUGGGCUCAACCUGGGAAUUGCAUUCGAUACUGCUUGGCUAGAGUAUGGUAGAGGGUAGUGGAAUUCCUGGUGUAGCGGUGAAAUGCGUAGAUAUCAGGAGGAACAUCAGUGGCGAAGGCGGCUACCUGGACCAAUACUGACGCUGAGGUGCGAAAGCGUGGGGAGCAAACAGGAUUAGAAACCCCAGUAGUCC
rnacentral:rRNA from 1 species